rnacentral:lncRNA from 10 species
GCCAGAGACUAUUAACAAUGUUCCGCAUUCAAGUUCAACAGGGAUCACUGGGAACGUCUCCUAUCUUCUCAGGGUGUUUCCAGAAGACAUUAGCAUCUGAAUCAGUAGACUGAGCAAAGAAGAUCUGAGGGCAGCAGACAUCCAAUCGCUUGAGGGCCUGGGAAGAGCAAAAAGCAAAUUUGCUCUCUUUUCUUAAGCAAGACUUCCAUCUUCUCCUGCCCUUGGACAUCAGAAUUCCAAAUUCUUGAGACUUUGGGGUUGGGGCUUACACCAGCAGCUCCCCGGGGCCUCAGGCCUUUGGACUUGGACUGUAUUACACCACCGGGUUUCCUGAUUCUCCAGCUUGCAGAAAGCAUAUUGCAGGAUUUAGUCUCCAUAAUCACAUGAGCCAAUUCCCAUAAUAAAUCCCUCUCAUGUAUCUACAUAUCAUGUUGGUUCUGUUUUGCUGGUGAACCCUUAUAUAGUCAGUAAACAUGAAUACAGAUUGACAAAAUGUCAUGAAGAUACAACUGAAUGAUACGCUUAGGAAACAAUCAAAUUAUUCUACCAUAAUCAUGUGGAAAGCGCCUACAGAAAAUGCCUACGUUCACCUGAAUCAUUCACAGCAGCAACCAGUAGACACAGUUUUACUGGACACUAUGAGCUUAGCAAUGUUCCAGGCUUUAUAUCAGUAACUCCAUCUUGGGCUACUACUCCAUAUUAAACUGCUGAUGAACUUUGAGACCCGAAAAGGAACUGUGAAAAACAUUCCUUCACAAACAACCGUGCUCUCAGCACUACACAAUACAAGUAAAACUGGUCCUAAUCUUUACAAACACUCUGUAUAUAGGUUUUUCCUGAAUAACUGAUACAAAUGUACCCUUCUACUACUGAUUAAAGACUUGUUUAAUACACCAAUGAAAUAAUGUGACAAGCAAUUUAUGUAAUCUAAAUAAGUUCUUUUAAAUAGCCCCCUUGCCCUUCUCGGGUGGUACAAUCUCUGACUGCUAGCCAGGUUGCAACCCCCAUUCCUGAGUAAAUGCUAA